rfam:Ciona savignyi cont_30736, whole genome shotgun sequence.
UCACUCUGGCUUCUCUUCAACGUAUGAUUCUUUCGCCUUUUACUAAAGAAUUCCGUGGAGAGGAGCAGUUGAAUGA